rnacentral:tRNA from 2 species
GGGGCUGUAGAGGUAAUCGGUAACCUUACUGUGGUUGCCACCCAGAGUUGCCGGUUCGAGCCCGGUCAGCUCCACCA